AAUUCAGUUGAAUGAAAUAGCAUCAAAAAUGCUUAAAGUAUGUCGAUUCAAAGAGAAAAAUGUUGUUCUUGCAUCGUACGUGAGAUAUGAAUGUUGUUAUAAUAAGCAUUCCCCCUUAAGUGU